UAAGUUUGAAUCCAGAACAGAACAUAUGACGUCAUACUGGUAUGUGCAAAAGACUAAAACAAGGAUUCUGGGAACUUUUGAUUUAACACAAUGAGAGUAUUGAUCAUAAGAGAAAUAUGUUUAAGAACUUGUGAGAUUUGGUUAACGCUUGAUAUCAACUCUUGUUAUUUAAUUUAGAUAAUAAUAAUAAACUUGCCGUAGGCUCAUUUAUUAUUAUACUUAAAUUAAAUUCCUGAUUUGAUAUCAAGCGAUAUCCAAUUCUCAAUCGUAAUGAUACCUUACACAUAUUCAUUCCACUGGUCUAUACUGAAAUCCAAUAUAACAAUUGGCGACUUAUCAAUUGACAAUGCAUUACAAGUACCAAAGUGUAAAAUAAACUAACUACUGAUACAAAAUACAUUAACAGAGAAUUAAUGAAAGCUACUUGUUCCGGAGGGUUAGCAUAAGUUGUCAGUACAGAAACAGGAUAUCAAUACGUUCAUAAUUACACAAAUUGAAAACUACAUUUGAAAUAAAUUAUCCAAACUGAACACGAGUUGAGUAAAACAAAUUGAAACAAGCAAAAUCUUGAAAAUGUAUGGCUUUAAAAAAAAACAAAAAACAAAAAACAAAUCCCAAAAACACUACACGAAUCCAACUUUCGCCUUUGUAUCUGCCACUGCCUUAGUUUACAAUCUUGUAUUUUCGUUUUGUAUUAGUUUCUUAGCGAUAGACAGUUCCCCGAUUAAUUCUAAAUUACGUAUUCUUAGAAUUUCACAACAUUAUUAUUUUUAAAGGAAACAACCGCAAGCUAUCAUAAAUACUAGCAUUCCCGAUUUUUGUUUUUAUCGUCUUUGUUCUUUAUCUGAUUGAUCAUAUAUGGGCAUUUCAGAACUGUUUGUUACAUCUCUAAAUUAAUGAAUUUAUAUAUAAUUAGCAUACACGCGUACAUACAUUAUCACGCACUACAUGAUAAUAUAAUAAAGGGACUUUUACAAACAAAAUAAUGUAUGGUUGUCGGCGCCUUUUAUCUAAGGAUGAUAAUAACAUACGUUACUAGUGGUACGUUGCUUAUCUUGAUUAUGAUAAGUACAUUUUAAUGCAUAUGUAUUUCUAAUGAUCAAAUAAGUAGUGAAUUAUACAGACAAAAGCUGCAUGUGUAAAAGUUCGCAAACAUUAAGCCGAGAGUUUAAAAGAACAUACACAUAUUUACUGCAUGUAUAACGCAUACUUAUUUUCAAUGAUGUUAUUGAUCAAUUUAAUUGAAUUUAAGAAUUGAAGUGUUCAAUUAAAUAACAGUCAUUUGAAUAUGUUUUGGAUAAUUUGUCAGAGCCUUGACAACAAGUAUCAAUACCAACAAACAUUUCCCAUAAUCUACGAAAAAUGGUGCUCACGGCAAUAACAAUCGACAGUUCGUAAUUUUAUCGUAGUUUUCCAACGUUUCACGGGCAACACGACAUGUGCAACAUGUUUAGAAGGAUACGCUUACCUUUCAAAAGCACAUGAGAUGCUCUGUUUGUUUACGGCGGUUCGUGUCCCGUAGUCUUUAGCUUUCUAUGAAUUGUUUUCUGAACUGUUUUUCACUGUUUUUGUCUUUUCCUCGUUAUUGCUGUGAUAUCGUCAGUUUUUUUUUCGAUUUAUACUUUUGUGUUUUUCCUCUGGUCUCCUUUGCCACAUGAGCAAAGCUAGAUAAAACAUGCAUGUCUUAUUAAAUAUAUGGUAAGAUAUGACAGUGUAAUUAAUAUAUAUUAUUAUUACGUAUUUAAAACGACUAAAAAAUAAUUAACGGUGCGAAAUUAUGAUUAAAUUUGUGUACAUUCAAUUGACUUCGCACAUAGUGCUUAACCGGCUAACAUUAAAGUAUUAUUAACUGCUUCUUGUUAUUAUCGCACGUCUGUUUCGAAUGGUAACGUAAUGCAAAUUGACGCUACUUGGAAAAAAUUUCUACUAAAAAAGCCCAACGUAAAGUUUCAUAUGAAAAUAUACAACACAUUCAUGACAGUAGGAUGAAAGACACAAUAACAGGAAUCAUGAAGUACAUAACGAGAAGUGCCAAAAAAAUAAAGAAUAUACUGAACACCAAAUUAAUGUGUUUCAGGUUGCUGUUUGCAAUUGGCCGUGUCGAAAAAUUGAAAAUAUUUCAUUAAUUUAAUUCUGUGUCAAAUGCAUCUCGUUUUUGGUUAUUCCGAUGAGAAAAAAAGUUAUUAUUUUAAUAUUGGUAAUACGGCAGUUUGUUUCUUAUUGUUUCCAUUAACUUAAUAAUCGUUCAACUAAUAAUCUUAAAAUUUCAAAACGGUGUUUAUUAUGACAAACUGAAGGUCCAGUUUGAUAUCAACAAUGUUAACUGGUGUCGUUAAAGAGUUGUUUUUGAUUGACUCAGAAAUGACACUUUCUGCCGUUUCCGUGCAAUACCUUGUGAAUUGUAUGGCCAAUAUUUUUCAAAUUCUUAUAUAAUUAACUUUCAUGAAAAAAAAGGGAAAGUUCGAUACUGACGAUUGUCAUUUUCCAAUCAUUUGGAAACCCUUAAGUGUCCAUUUUUGUCGGUAAAAACGCCUUGAGGAACCUCUGAGAGAGUUAUAUGUACUGUAUUCCAACCAGCAUUUAAAAUAAUUUCAUCAUCAAAAGAGGCAGAAGAUAUCAAGGGAACAUUAAAAUCUAAACAGUCGAAGAGAAAACUCAAUUGCAAAAGAGGAAAAGGGACAAGGAGAUAAACAGGUCCACAAAAAAUACCAUAAAAACUCAAGAUUGAGCAACAGGAACUCCGACAAAACAACUGGGAAUCAACUCAGUGCUUCGGAACCGGAUGAAUAGAUCUAAAGUUCUACCUUCAACUUGUUGAUCAGUAAAAUUAUGAAAAUAUUAUAAUACAUUAUACAAACAUAAUUUUUCUAAGUGUAAGUCUAUGAUUAAAGAAUCAUGACAUGACAUUUGUCAUAUCACUUGCAUUCAUCAGUUUAGUUAAUAUCAGCUCUCGAAUUUUUGGCUCUUGGACUGAGAUAAUGUCGAAAGGCUGAUUAGUCGUCUGAUAUCAGAAAUCCCAUGUUAAAAUCUGAUAUUAUUAUUAUUAUUAGAUGCACUAGCUAUAUUCGAGUAAAUUUGUAUUUAAUAUUUCAGUUGUAGCUGAUUCAACCAGUACUUAUUCCCCUUUGUCUACUCAAUUAGGCUUCUUUAUUGGGGGUUUAGUUUUGGGAGCUUUGUUGACCCUCGGUAUAGUGGUCAUUAUUAUCAGAAGACGAAUAUCCAUAACACAAAGGCAAAAGAACAAAACAGCCAACCCAAAAAGCAAUGAACAGCAUUAUGAUAAUCUCGGAAUUGAAACUGUAUCUACGUAUCAGGACCUCGCGGCACAUUCAGUAUCAAACGAAUAUUAUCAGAUUGAUACUCUAUACGCCAAAGAAUAGAUAUCAAACUUGUUAAGCUUUCAUUGUAGUAUGUAAUUGAAAAUAUUUCAUCAACGACCUUUAGACCUCAUGUCAUUAGAUAACUCAUUUUUUUUAUACAAGUAUAAUCAUCCAUGCAACGCAUAUUAAUACAUUUAUUUGAAAUGCACAUUCAAGCUUCAUAUUAUCAUAUCCAAAGAAAGUGUUAUUAUAUAUUCUAUAUUUAAUGAUGUAUGAUACAUGUAUACAAAUAUCGAAAUCAAGCAUUGUUUUCCUAGUGAUUUUUUUUUAAAUAAAUUAGAUUUUAAAUCAACUGUUUUUCAUUUCAGAAAAUUAUUUUGUAUUUAUAAGACAUAAAAAAGAUUUGUAUAUAGAACCAUUUCAUUGUGUAAAAACAUGCAUUUUGUAUUUACCUUUGAUUGUAUUUUCUUGUUAAUCCUUUGUCUACUUGAUAAUGGACUUCAGUAAAGUGUUUCAAGUCAA